rnacentral:rRNA from 1 species
UUGGAGGGCAAGUCUGGUGCCAGCAGCCGCGGUAAUUCUAGCUCCAAUAGCGUAUAUUAAAGUUGUUGCAGUUAAAAAGCUCGUAGUCGAAUUUCGGGAUUGACGUGAUGGUCAUGCCUUAAGGGGUAUGAACUGUUACUGUUGAUUUCUCACCUUCUGGAGAAACUUGAUGUCCUUUAUUGGGUGUCUUGCGGAUCCAGGACCUUUACCUUGAAAAAAUUAGAGUGUUUAAAGCAGGCAUUUUGCUCGAAUACAUUAGCAUGGAAUAAUAGAAUAGGACGGCAUGGUUCUAUUUUGUUGGUUUCUAGGAUCACCGUAAUGAUUAAUAGGGAUAGUUGGGGGCAUUAGUAUUCAAUUGUCAGAGGUGAGAUUCUUGGAUUUAUUGAAGACUAACUACUGCGAAAGCAUUUGCCAAGGAUGUUUUCAUUAAUCAAGAACGAAAGUUAGGGGAUCGAAGACGAUCAGAUACCGUCGUAGUCUUAACCAUAAACUAUGCCGACUAGGAAUCAGACGAUGUUAAUUUUUUAAUGACUCGUUUGGCACCUUACGGGAAACCAAAGUGUUUGGGUUC